rnacentral:rRNA from 1 species
UACCCCCGUUGAACUUAAGCAUAUCAUUAAGCGGAGGAAAAGAACCCAACAGGGAUUGCCUUAGUAACGGCGAGUGAAGCGGCAACAGCUCAAAUUUGAAAUCUGGCUCUAGGGCCCGAGUUGUAAUUUGCAGAGGAUGAUUUUGGCGCGGUGCCUUCCGAGUUCCCUGGAACUGGACGCCUUAGAGGGUGAGAGCCCCGUACGGUUGGACACCAAGCCUCUGUAAAUCUCCUUCGACGAGUCGAGUAGUUUGGGAAUGCUGCUCUAAAUGGGAGGUAAAUUUCUUCUAAAGCUAAAUACCGGCCAGAGACCGAUAGCGCACAAGUAGAGUGAUCGAAAGAUGAAAAGCACUUUGAAAAGAGGGUUAAAUAGCACGUGAAAUUGUUGAAAGGGAAGCAUUUACUACCAGACCUUCUCCCUGCGGAUCAUGCGGUGUUCUCACCGCUGCACUUCGCUUGGUUUAGGCCAGCAUCGGUUUUCGUAGGGGGAUAAAAGCUCUAGGAACGUAGCUCCCUCGGGAGUGUUAUAGCCUUCUGCAUAAUACCCCUCCGGGGACCGAGGACCGCGCUUUUGCAAGGAUGCUGGCAUAAUAAUAGUCAAUGACCCGUCUUGAAACACGGACCAAGGAGUCGAACAUUUGUGCGAGUGUUUGGGUGUUAAACCCUCACGCGUAAUGAAAGUGAACGUAGUGAGAGCUCUUGCGGGCGCAUCAUCGACCGAUCUUGAUGUCUUCGGAUGGAUUUGAGUAAGAGCAUAACUGUUCGGACCCGAAAGAUGGUGAACUAUGCGUGGAUAGGGUGAAGCCAGAGGAAACUCUGGUGGAGGCUCGCAGCGGUUCUGACGUGCAAAUCGAUCGUCAAAUCUGCGCAUGGGGGCGAAAGACUUAUCGAACCAUUAAGCCAGCGGUAAAAAUACUUACUAGGUGGUUAAGAGGCCCUCUGCAAGGAGAGAAAGGCCUAGGUGAUCUACCCUGGAAGAUGCUACCCUGCACUUCUGGGUGGGCUACCGACAUCGCUAAAUUGCGGGAACAUCCCACUGUGAGGCUAGGGGUUACCGCCGCCUGCUGAAAAGCCCGGCGGCACUGGGAGUAGCGCUCUCAGGUGUGGUAAGAACGCCCCUAGUAUCGGACGACCUGCAGCCAACCCCGCACUUCAGGGGAGGGUUCACAGACUAGACAGCGGUGGGUCAGCCGUUGCUGGCCUAAGACAUAGUCGAUCCGGGGCCUGAAAAGGUGCCCUACAGCGUGGCAUAUAGGUGCCACAGCGGUAGAGCUAGUAGCUGGUUACCGCCGAAGUUUCCCUCAGGAUAGCAGUGUUGAUCUUCAGUUUUAUGAGGUAAAGCGAAUGAUUAGGGACUCGGGGGCUAAUUUUUGCCUUCAUCCAUUCUCAAACUUUAAAUAUGUAAGAAGCCUUUGUUACUUAAUUGAACGUGGGCAUUCGAAUGUACCAACACUAGUGGGCCAUUUUUGGUAAGCAGAACUGGCG